GGUGGCUUAGUGGUAGAGUGUUUGCCUUGCAUGCACAAGGCCCUGGGUUCAAUUCCUCAGCACCA
rnacentral:tRNA from 1 species